ACGCACGCUGGCGGCGUGCCUAAUCCAUGCAAGUAGAACGCUGAAGAGAGGAGCUUACUCUUCUUGGAUGAGUUGCGAACGGGUGAGUAACGCGUAGGUAACCUGCCUUGUAGCGGGGGAUAACUAUUGGAAACGAUAGCUAAUACCGCAUAACAAUGGAUGACACAUGUCAUUUAUUUGAAAGGGGCAAUUGCUCCACUACAAGAUGGACCUGCGUUGUAUUAGCUAGUAGGUGAGGUAAUGGCUCACCUAGGCGACGAUACAUAGCCGACCUGAGAGGGUGAUCGGCCACACUGGGACUGAGACACGGCCCAGACUCCUACGGGAGGCAGCAGUAGGGAAUCUUCGGCAAUGGGGGCAACCCUGACCGAGCAACGCCGCGUGAGUGAAGAAGGGUUUCGGAUCGUAAAGCUCUGUUGUAAGUCAAGAACGGGUGUGAGAGUGGAAAGUUCACACUGUGACGGUAGCUUACCAGAAAGGGACGGCUAACUACGUG
rnacentral:rRNA from 1 species